CCUCUCUUACAUAAUCCAU
rnacentral:snRNA from 1 species